rnacentral:rRNA from 1 species
CCUACGGGCGGCAUCAGUGAGGAAUAUUGGUCAAUGGACGAGAGUCUGAACCAGCCAAGUAGCGUGAAGGAUGACUGCCCUAUGGGUUGUAAACUUCUUUUAUAUGGGAAUAAAAUGUUCCACGUGUGGGAUUUUGUAUGUACCAUAUGAAUAAGGAUCGGCUAACUCCGUGCCAGCAGCCGCGGUAAUACGGAGGAUCCGAGCGUUAUCCGGAUUUAUUGGGUGUAACGGGAGCGUAGGUGGAUUGUUAAGUCAGUUGUGAAAGUUUGCGGCUCAACCGUAAAAUUGCAGUUGAAACUGGCAGUCUUGAGUACAGUAGAGGUGGGCGGAAUUCGUGGUGUAGCGGUGAAAUGCUUAGAUAUCACGAAGAACUCCGAUUGCGAAGGCAGUUCACUGGACUGCAACUGACACUGAGGCUCGAAAGUGUGGGUAUCAAACAGGAUUAGAUACCCUUGUAGUC